AAAACAACAAGACCAGAUGAGUUUGAUUUCUCCACGAAACCAAUCGUCAAACUUCAAUAAAUUUCCGUACUAAAAUUCCACCUACGCAGAUAUAUAAAUACCACUUCACUCUAAAAGUCAUCAUUUCUUCCCAUUCCCAUACAUCUGAACUCUGUCUAUAGAACUCCGCAGAAGAAAUUCAGGUCUUGUUUGCUGUUGCAAAUGGAGGCUGUUUCAAUUCCCGUGAUCGAUCUUCAGAAAUUCCCAGGGCAGUCUGCAAAGAUUUUAGAAGCAUGUAAAAAGUGGGGAUGUUUUAGGAUAACCAACCACGGCAUACCUGAUACAUUAAUGUCAGAUAUGAAACAGGUUGUUCGUUUGCUAUUUGAUCGACCGAUUGAAAUCAAACGGCGCAAUACUGAUGUGAUCGAGGGGAGUGGAUAUAUGGCCCCGAAUGAGAAAAAUCCUCUAUAUGAAGCAUUGGGUCUGUAUGAUAUGGGAUCUUCCGAUGCUGUUGAAACCUUCUGCACUCAGCUGGAUGCAUCCCCGCAGCAAAGACGGACAGGAUUUGACGGGACCCUGAUCUGGCGGUCUUGAUCAUUCGGAUCGAGCUAUGACUUGGACGGUCAGGAAAUUUCAGUAAUGUUAUGGAGUGGGAUGCGGGUCAACAAACACUAAACCUAGAAGAAAGAAGUUGAGUUCAGUCUUUCUCUUGCUUUGCUCUCAGUUCUCAGUUUCGAUUGUUUAUCUUAUUCACCGCAUGGGUUGAUGGUUCUUUACUUGAAAUAAGUUGUUACAACCAUCAAUACUAUUGGAGGAGCAGCUAUCAGGGCUUUCUUUUAUAACCCUUUCUUUUGCUAAUAUCAAAUCAAGUUGGAUUGCAUGAAGCCAUCGACUAUCUUGAUCUCUAAAUUAGUUUGGUGGUAUAAUUUGAGAAAUUGGUAAUUGGGAUUCUGAAUUUUCGAGGUUAAAAUCCUCAAAUUGAAAAGCUUUGUUUUAUAGGAUGAAGGGUGGGUAACCUUCAGGAACAUACUAUUGGAAAUCAUUGAAGCCUGAAUGUUUAUACAGUACCCAAUCAGAUUGUUCCAACAGUUGGUGUUAGAUUCUCAGCAGAUGACAUGGCAGAUUAUAAACCUAAAUUAAUGCACUCACAAAUGAGGAGGAAAGACAAGGGGCUUUGAUGCAAUUGACGCUAAUCUAGAAAGGGAUAGUGAUUGCAUUGCCUGAUUAAUUUCCUAGAGACGUUCUUGCAUUUGUCCAUGGGAAAACACUCCAAGAUGACAGGGUCAAUGGACGAGCAUUACCGGCUACUGGAUGUCCAAGUUCCCAUUCACGCUAAUACCUGUAAGUUUCAAGAGGGAGAAAAUAGAUGAUUACUUCCCAUCAAUAUACAAUAUCGGUGCAAGCAUAUCACUCUUUCAUCAUGAAUAAUAAAUCUGUGUAGGCUUUCGUCUUCUCAGCAGAUGACAUGGCAGAUUAUAAACCUAAACUAAUGCACUCACAAAUGAGGUAAGAACAUUGCUUUCAGGUGAAAAUUCUACGUUGUCAUCUUGGAAAUGGAUGAACGAUGAAAACUAUUAUUUAGAGGAAAUAAGACUCAAGAAGUUAAAGGUAUACUCAUUUGAUAUACACGUGCAACAACUGAACUUGAUUUAACCUUUGAUGAUGGUCUAUUGUAGGAGGAAAGACAAGGGGCUUUGAUGAAAUUGACGCUACUUUAGAAAGGGAUAGUGAUUGCAUCGCCUGAUUAAUUUCCUAGAGACGUUCUUGCAUUUGUCCACGGGAAAACACUCCAAGAUGACAGGGUCAAUGGACGAGCAUUACCGGGUACUGGAGGUCCAAGUUCCCAUUCACGAUAAUACCUUUUGUCAAGUCACAAGUAUGCAUAGCUUGGACGAUCAUUCCUCCAUACUGAAGGAAAAAUUGCCAGUGGGGAAAAUUACUGGACUAAAGUUUCUGAUAAAGGUGUACCAUAUCUCCAGCAUUCCCCGAAAGUAAGCAUAAGAUUUGUUUCUCAUGUAUUUACCUAAUCACAUAGUUAAGUCUCUCUCUUUGUUCCCCAUCCAGACUUACGCAAGAUUGUGGAUUUGGUUGAGGUGCGGAGUUUCAUAUGGUUAGCACUGUCCAGUUACAAAGUACCUUCUCUCCUGUCAAAGCAAAUAUUUUCCCUUCUAUUUAGAUUUAUGUACUCAGGAAACCCUUGAUAUAUUUGCUGACAUAUAUUAUUCUGUCGAUGAUAUUAUUAUUCAGUAGAUCGAUCCUUUAUAACGUUGAGCGGAAUAUGCAAUGUCACUAACAAGAUGAGAAAUGGUGAAAAUGAUCUACAAAAUAAUAACGCCAUAGCCUUGAUAUCAUUCUAGGAUUUUAUGGCAGUUGAUGGAAACACUUUGUUGCAUCAAAGGGCUUUUGGCCAUUAUUGAAUCAACAAUUGUGGGAAUUAUGGAUAUUGAGUUGUUAUUCCUUGGAUUAUGUCUUGGUCUUCCUGUUGAUUUUGCUAAUUCGUUUUUGCAUAUGUGAGGUGUAGACUACAUCGUCAAAGCUCAUUUGGUUGAAAUUUUCUACCGAUUGUCAUAAUACUAAUUGAACACCCUCAUCUACUUAUAGAAAGGAAACCAUCCAUUUAUGUUUGUGUAGUUAUAUUAAAUUGGUCAAUGAGUCAAUGCUAAAUGGAUGUUCCUCUUCGGGUGAUAGAACCACUGCGUUAGUCAAGGACCAGUGGUUGAACAAGGAUUAAAAGGAAUCCCUACGCGAAGUGGUGAAGGAGUUUACUCCCCUCUGGAUGGUGACAGUCUGGACUGAGGUGAUGUUAGGUUUGCCGACAGGUUAAUGUAAACAGGGAAAAUCAAUCAAGAUCCUGAGCAUCUGUUAGGGGUGAAGAGGCUAAUUUGGACAAUGGGUGUCUCAUCAGAUUUGAUUCAUUUUUUGAGGUAAUCUCUUCUCUCUUUGAUUUAAGUAAUCUGCAUAGCUAUAAAGAGAUACAAAUUGGUUCCUAGUUAAUAAUGAUAUAAAUCUCAAUCCUAGGCUCUGUAGUGAAGACUUAAGGUUAACAUGUUUUGACUAUUAUGUUUAAUGGUGUAAUAUUACUUAUCUGUGAGUAAUGUAAUUUGGGUUUCGUUGGUUUUGUAUGUUGCUUUACUCUAAAAAUCGAACUUAGAACUUUUAGGAUUAUAAUAGCGUAACCCGGAAAUUUCGGUACAAAUUUACACUACUCAUUGUAAUUCAUGUGUCGAAGAUUUCGUUUUGUUUUCUAGAUUGCCUUUAAAUUUUUUAUGUUGGCAUGUUUAAUUUCUGUUAGAACAAAGUUUCAUGGUCCAAAACGGUGCAUCAACGAAUAUGAAUCUGUGGCACAAUGGUAGUGCGUCUGACAUCAAGUUAGAAAGUUGUGUAUUCAAUUCACACCAGAUUCAGUCCUCUAUAGUAAUCAUUUUUUAUUGCAUCCUUUACUCUAACUUACAAGUAGUAAAAUAGUACCAAAUUCGCUCAUAAAAUUGACAUUGAUGAUUGAAUUAUGUUACACCAGAUGAAUAACGCAAUAUGCAUUCAUGCCAUCACCAGUAUUAACAAGUACAUUACAUCUUUUAUAGAUGAGGGAAACCUUCUUUUAGCUUUGUGAAUGGGUCAGUGAUCACAAGAGAUCACAAAUUCUCUGAUAUUAGCUACUUCCGUACACCUAAUUCUCUUUGCAUUUGAUUCACUAACCUGUGUACUUUUAGCACUCAAGUUUUUAACGAAUUAAGUGUUGGGAGUCUACUUUAUAUACUGUUUGGAAUCGGACCUUUGAGAUGCGGAGCGGGAAGAAAAAGGAGAAAUGAUAAAAUCUCCUCAAAUUAUGGAACUCGGAUCCCUGUUUCUAUUCUUGGGUCUAUCCAAGCUACUGAAAUCUCCAAGUGAUGCUCAACUGUCUUCAAGGGGAAUAAGGCUCCUAUCAGAAUGUACGACAAUGAGGAGGUUACUCAGAUAUGCAGGUACAGAAACGAGGAAGUUAUCAUGGACAUAACACAUACUAUAAAGGAAAGAGAUUGCUUUGAUCAUCUAUCUAUUUGUUUCUCUGCAUUAAGUUAGGAGUUCCCUUUACCUCCAUUUUUUGCCAUGCAAGUGGUCGUCUUUUAAUGACUGUGGUUGAAACCUAUUUUGGACAUUUUUGGCUGGAGUUCACCCUUGCACUUGGUUUCAGAAGUCGGGAUUUCAAAGAGGUGGAGAUUAUUGGAAAGCGCAUGACUACUUUCAACAACCUCAAACCUUGCGUUUUAGUGAACUUUUCCAUUUCAUGGUUAAUUUUUAUGCUAAGUCUGCAAUAGCCAAUAUCAAUAGUUGCAUACUAUAAUACCAAAUUGCAAAAUUUACUAUAAAGGUGAUGUUUGAAAACUGGAAAAAAAAAAAGAAGCUGAUGAAGAGGCAAGCAUUACACAACCUAACAUGCAUCCGCAAUAGUAAUUUGAUUAUCCCAUUGGCGAUGUUAUCACAUCAGGAGUUUUAUUGACAUUGCCUUUAAGAAGACAUAAUAUGUCUUGAAAACCACGACUGGGUUAUGGAUACCAGAACUGGGUUUUGCUUACUUAACUGACAAAUAUGUAAAAAGAUAGUUGAAGAAGUUUGUGAAUGUUCAUAUGCUUUUUAUUUGUAUAUGAAAAUUUAUGUGAUUUGGAGCUCAA